AAUAUUGCGCAAUGGAGGAAACUCUGACGCAGCGACGCCGCGUGAGCGAUGAAGGUCUUCGGAUCGUAAAGCUCUGUCCUCAGGGAAGAAGAAAGUGACGGUACCUGAGGAGGAAGCCCCGGCUAACUACGUGCCAGCAGCCGCGGUAAUACGUAGGGGGCAAGCGUUGUCCGGAAUUAUUGGGCGUAAAGGGUGCGUAGGCGGCUUUUUAAGUCAGAUGUGAAAGACCACAGCUUAACUGUGGGGUUGCAUUUGAAACUGGAGAGCUUGAGUAUCGGAGAGGGUAGUGGAAUUCCUGGAGUAGCGGUGAAAUGCGUAGAUAUCAGGAGGAACACCAGUGGCGAAGGCGACUUUCUGGACUGUAACUGACGCUGAGGUACGAAAGCGUGGGUAGCGAACA
rnacentral:rRNA from 1 species